rnacentral:misc_RNA from 1 species
AAGAACUUACAGAGUGCACUUCAUUGUGGCUCGACAUUUUCUACCAAUCACCCUAGUGAACUGUAAUACCUUUUUUUCAUUACUAGACUCUACAAAGUUAUUGAAUGUAAUACUUUUUAUAAAGAAAUA